rnacentral:rRNA from 1 species
UACCAGCACCCCGAGUGGCCGGGACGAUUAUUGGGCCUAAAGCAUCCGUAGCCGGUUUUACAAGUCCCCCGUUAAAUCCAGCUGCUUAACAGAUGGGCUGCGGAGGAUACUAUAAGACUAGGAGGCAGGAGAGGCAAGCGGUACUCAGUGGGUAGGGGUAAAAUCCGUUGAUCCAUUGAAGACCACCAGUGGCGAAGGCGGCUUGCCAGAAUGCGCUCGACGGUGAGGGAUGAAAGCUGGGGGAGCAAACCGG